UACGAAGGGGGCUAGCGUUGUUCGGAUUUACUGGGCGUAAAGCGCGCGUAGGCGGCCUCAUAAGUCCGUUGUGAAAGUCAAAGGCUCAACCUUUGAAAGCCGAUGGAUACUGUGAGGCUAGAGUCCGGGAGAGGCGAGUGGAAUUCCUGGUGUAGCGGUGGAAUGCGCAGAUAUCAGGAGGAACACCAAUAGCGAAGGCAGCUCGCUGGGACGGUACUGACGCUAAGGCGCGAAAGCGUGGGGAGCGAACAGG
rnacentral:rRNA from 1 species